rnacentral:rRNA from 1 species
UACGUAGGGUGCAAGCGUUGUCCGGAAUUAUUGGGCGUAAAGAGCUCGUAGGCGGUCUGUUGCGUCGGUUGUGAAAACCUGGGGCUCAACUCCAGGCCUGCAAUCGAUACGGGCAGACUAGAGUUCGGUAGGGGAGACUGGAAUUCCUGGUGUAGCGGUGAAAUGCGCAGAUAUCAGGAGGAACACCGGUGGCGAAGGCGGGUCUCUGGGCCGAAACUGACGCUGAGGAGCGAAAGCGUGGGGAGCGAACAGG